CAGAAAAGGAAAGAUGGCUUCUACCUUCCAGUUCUAGCGUAAAUCCUGGUGCGGGCUCUCUUUGGCCAGGACUGGGUCAUGAGCUCAUACCUGCACCAAUCACUGUGGGCAGAAAAGUAGGAUUACCUGGAUGGGGGCCUGGAUCAUGAUUCCACCCAAAAGCCAGAAGGUAGUGCCUGUCCUCGACUGUGUAUCAAUCAGGGGAACAGAGUCACUGUGAGUGACUAUCCCAUAGGAUAAGAGAUUUAUUAUAGGAAGUAAGUCCUCUACAAGUGUGGGAGGAGUAGGGGGCUGAAGGCUUGCCAGAGGACUCAGCGGUUCAAAUAGGAGUCAUUAGUCAAAUUGAGAGACCAGGGGAGUUCAUUGAGAGAUCUAUGGGAAACAGUUGCCUCUGAGUCUGUAGCCGAGUCUGGCCAUGGGCCUAAGCCUUUUGGUCAGCAGGGCCAGCAGUCAGGAAAAAGAGCUGGAAGUGCCAUAGUGGAGAGCAAGGACAAGUCCACCAGUCAUAAAAACUGACAGGUACAAUCUAGUUUGAAAAGUGCUUUAACAGAGGAAAGCAUAAAGUGCAAUGGAGUCCUGAGGGCUUGCUGAAUCCUCUCUAGAAAUCAAGAAGAUCUUCCUAGAGGAGACAACAUUUGAGCUGAGACCUGAAGAAUGAAGAGAGGACCAGAUGAAAUGGGGGGUGGGGGGGAAGUAGAGGAAUUAGCACAUGCAAGAGCCUAGAGCCAGGAAAAGAUAUAAGAGAGCUAAAAGUAAUUUAAUCUGGCUAGGACCAAAGUAUGAAGAAAGAAGGGUUAGGGGUCAUGAUUGAGGCCAGCAGGGGCCAGACUACAGGUCCUUAUAAUGAGGAAUUUAAACUCUGUCCUAAGAGCAAAGCAGUUGGCUUUCGUCCUCAGACUCAUCGCCCACAACAGCUGCUUCCAGCGCCCUGCGUUGUGUGAUUGCCGGACACUGAUCAAAACAGGAAGGAAGGGGCAGGGGCAAAGACUCUCACCUCCCCAAAUUCUGUGUUAUUAAUGAAGUUAACCC